AGAGUUUGAUCCUGGCUCAGGAUGAACGCUGGCGGCGUGCUUAACACAUGCAAGUCGAACGAAGCACUUGGGAAAGAUUCUUCGGAUGAAAGCCUUUGUGACUGAGUGGCGGACGGGUGAGUAACGCGUGGGUAACCUACCUCAUACAGGGGGAUAACAGUUGGAAACGACCGCUAAUACCGCAUAACCCGCUAGUAUCGCAUGAUACAGACGGAAAAGAUUUAUCAGUAUGAGAUGGACCCGCGUCUGAUUAGCCAGUUGGCAGGGUAACGGCCUACCAAAGCGACGAUCAGUAGCCGGCCUGAGAGGGUGAACGGCCACAUUGGGACUGAGACACGGCCCAAACUCCUACGGGAGGCAGCAGUGGGGAAUAUUGCACAAUGGGGGAAACCCUGAUGCAGCGACGCCGCGUGAGUGAGGAAGUAUUUCGGUAUGUAAAGCUCUAUCAGCAGGGAAGAAAAUGACGGUACCUGACUAAGAAGCCCCGGCUAACUACGUG
rnacentral:rRNA from 1 species